rnacentral:tRNA from 1 species
AAAUAAGAAGCAAAAUUUGCAAUUAGUUUCGACCUAAUCAUUGAUAUUAAAUAAUAUCCUUAUUUU